AUUGAACGCUAGCGGGAGGCCUAACACAUGCAAGUCGAGCGGAGCGGCGGACGGGUGAGUAAUGCCUAGGAACCUGCCUGGUAGUGGGGGAUAACGACCGGACACGGGCGCUAAUACCGCAUACUAUCAGAUGAGCCUAGGUCGGAUUAGCUAGUUGGUGGGGUAAAGGCCUACCAAGGCGACGAUCCGUAACUGGUUUGAGAGGAUGAUCAGUCACACUGGGACUGAGACACGGUCCAGACUCCUACGGGAGGCAGCAGUGGGGAAUUUUGGACAAUGGGCGAAACCCUGAUCCAGCCAUGCCGCGUGUGUGAUGAAGGUCUUCGGAUUGUAAAGCACUUUAGGUUGGGAGGCGUUACCUGCAGAAUAAGCACCGGCUAACUUCGUGCCAACAGCCGCGGUAAUUC
rnacentral:rRNA from 1 species